UACAGAGGUCGUCAAGCGUUGUUCGGAUUCAUUGGGCGUAAAGGGUGCGUAGGCGGCGCGGUAAGUCGGGAUGUGAAAUCUCGGAGCUUAACUCCGAAACUGCCAAUUCGAUACUGCCGUGCUUGGAGGACUGGAGAAGGAGACUGGAAUUUACGGGUGUAAGCGGUGAAAUGCGUAGAUGAUCGUAAGGAAGACCAGUGGCGAAGG
rnacentral:rRNA from 1 species